UAUGGAGCAAAAUUCUGUAAUCUCAUGUUAAUUGUUCAUUAGUAUUUUGUGAAUAUGAAAUUUGCAGUCUAAUUAAAAGAGGGCCAGGUUUUAGGAAUUAAAAUUAGUAGCUGCUAAUUUUUGGCUUUUUCUGCAGCGACGGCGUCUAAUUAAACGGAUCUCCUGCUUUCAGUUUUGCUGUGUAAGCCUUACAUAACGUCGUUUACUCAUGUCGUUACAACGUGGCACCUUUUUUUAAUUCCUUUUUAUGGUUAAUCACCAUAGGGAGAUGGGAAAAGUAAUGGUGGAUAUAUAUAGGUUUGAUGACGAUAAUUUAAGAAGUACACAAAAAAAAAAAGGAAACUAAAAAGACACUUUUACUAGUGGGAAUAGUAGUUGAAAAGAUAAGAAAAUGGAGAAAGCUUUGUAUUACAGUAAUCCCAAGUUAAUUGUCAGUUAAUAUAACUAUUAUGCAUUUUGAAUUUUGUAAGUCAAUUCUUCCAGCAAUCUAAUGGUGGCUUCUAAAUUUAUUAUUAUUAUUUUUUUAUCUCGCGCAAUUGAUUGACACCUUUUCCCGAGGAGCAGAUUGUAUUGGUUUUCGGACCCACACUUAGAACUUUUCAUGAGAUUUGUAGAAAUUGCGGUAUUGUAUAAAAAAUUAUAAAAUAGGUACUUUUUAGGGAAAAAACAAAACUCAGCCCAUCUUUCGAGCAUAACGGAAAUCCAAAUUUCUAAUUAUUGUGUUGAAGUUGAUAUAUACAUGCAUGUAUCUGCUGCGAAAUGUUGUGAUCAGUAAAUUAUGUGCAGGUGAAUUCAAUCUUCCAUGUGCUGAGUUCAUCCUCCAACAACUUAUUAACGCUGAGAUCUGAAUAUUGCAUUGGUGUCAUUAAACCAGCAGUGCAUACAUAGUGGUGGCCAUCUAGAAGCAAUAAGAAUCGCUGAGGUGGCUUGAAGUUAACAUCAACCUUUUGCAAAAUUUUGGCUCGUUGGAUGGGGCCCGUUUAGCACCGAUCACCUGCAGGACUGAGCUGUUUCCAAAGGAUUAAUCCAUGUCAGAUGUUUGGAGGAUUUUAUUUAAUUUUUUGGCUGUAAGACAGGAAAUGAUAGUAUAUAUAGAAUUUAGCUACUAUCCUAUUAAUAGAUUAAGAUCAUUGUCUUA